GAGUAUGGGUAGGAAAAUUUUCUCUUAAAUAUGAAUUGCAUUGACAUUCUUAAGUAUGUUCAAAUAAACUAUCAAAUUCUAUUUUGUUAUACGAUUGUGUUUGUUCUGGGAACUGUUAUUUUGUAUGACAUGUCUAUUAUUUUACACUAAUUUUCUUGUGUUUAGAAUUACACUGAGCUCUUUAAGCUCACCCCUCGUAUUUCAAUCUAUACAGACAACCCGCAAGGUUAGAACAUAGACUUGACAUUUGAUGGUCUUCGCUAGGAUUAUUGCCCUUAAAAGUUUUUUAAACAUAAUAUUAUAAUUUAUGUUAUUUUGGGAACUGUGUCAUUUUAUUGGAAUUGUGGAAUGGGAUUUAAAUUUUGAGUUAAUUUCGGCAAGCAUGACAUUUAAGUUGUUUAGACUUGUGAAACUUUGGAAUUGAAUUGUAGAGGCCCAAUUUAGCCCGGGCCCAUAAACUAGAAACCUAAUAACAAAAAUAUAUAUAUAAAGUCCACAAGUCCAUUUUACAUAGCCCAAAAUCCAAACCCAUUUACAAUAACCCAAUUCUAAACCCAACUACCUUAGCCAAAAAAUUCAAAGCCCAAAUGGCCCAAAAUGUUUUAGAAACAGAAACUAGGGUUUCCCUUGCACCGCAGUUGUUCUCCCAACCCUCGUACAACCUCCAGUGCGCCUCCAUACGACCUUCACGCACCACCCCACCACCUUGCCUCUGUAUCUGCAAAAUAAGACAAGCAAAGGACGGACACAGCAGCAAGAGCAAAAACCAAGCAAAAACUUUGUAAUUUUUCUUUUUUGUGGUGGCUAUAAAAAGCCAAGAAAUAUCAAUGUAAAGCUCUCUUUUUUUUUACGCAUACAAGGAAAUCAAUACAAAAAAAAGGGGAAUCAAGGUGGUCUUUUGGUUCUGUUUUCCAUUUCCUUUGCAAGUUUAUUUUCGAAUAUAGCACAUACAUGUAUAGAUAUUCAAAGAAAACAUAAAAAAAGGUUACCUUUUUGAGAUUGGGGAAGGGAACUGAGGGGUUGUUUGUUUGAUUUUACUUUUAAAAGGCUUUCUCUAGAACUUUGGGGUUUUAAAUCGGGGGGAGGGAGAUUGAAAAAAGGAAUCAAAAUUGAAAAGGUGAUUUUGGAAUAAAAUACUUUUAAUUUCUUCUUUUUUCUUUCGAUUCCAUUAGUUUUUCGCAUUUAAAAACAAAGAGAAAACAAUAGAUUUACCUUGCGGAUGUGCUAAGAGAUUCCGUCUUCUUUGUUGAAACUGAAGCGUAGAAGGAAUCUCGUGGUCGAGAUUGUCGUCCCCCGAAGCCCGAAUCUAUUCGUCACCAUUGAUAGAGGCAGAUCGGUGCUUAAGAGAGGGGUGUUAGGAUCGAUUGAGGGAAAAUCAAGAGAGGUUCGGGUUUUGAUUUUCUUAGUCGGCCAAAUGAAGAUAGAUAUGGUGAAGGAUUUCCUUCAUUUGUUGUGGAAAGUGGCAGAGUGCCAUUCAAACGUUUUUUAGGGUUUAAUUAAGCGUGCUUAAUUGUUUUGGGGUGAAUUGCGCAUUUAGUCCCUCCUUGUUUUGCUGUCAUCUGAUUGAGUCCCAUUUAUGUUUUUUUUUGCUUUUUAAUUCUUUCCUAAAACUUAUGCACUUUUUUAAUUUGAUCCAUGUUUACAUUAUGCGUUCAGAAACCUGGAAUAAUUGCGUUUUUUGUCCUUGCACGUUCACGCGCAUUGCCCUUUGGUCCUUAUUUCUAUCUUAAUAGUUUAUUUUAUUUAUUAAUUAUACCUUUUAAUUUGAUUUUAUUUCAAUUAAGUUUUUAUUUCAAUUUAUAUAAUUCAUUAUUUUUAUUCAUUGAGCAUUUAUCUUUUAAAUUUUAUUUAUAUACCUUUGGAGUUACUUGGAUAAGUUUACUUCGUUUUUUUUAAUUAUAAAAUUAUUAUUUUAAAAUUCUCUUUUGUAUCAUAUUAUUUUAAAUUUUGGUAUAAUCUUUAAUUUAAAUUACCUUUAUAUUAAUAUAUAUAUAAUUUAUAUUAAAAUUAGCUUUAUUUUAUAAACAUUAUUAAUUCUAUGUUAUUAUAUAUAUAUAAUUUCUUUUAAAUUUGUUUAUUUGUAUUUCCUUUUAAAUUUAUUGUUAUUCUUUAAAAAAUAUAUUUUAUUAUUUCUUUGUUAUUUAAGAUCCUUACAUGUAUAUAUUGUUUUACUAUAUAUUGGUUCGUUAUUUCUUCAUGUAUAUUUUUCUUUAUUUUAUUAUAUCUUCAUUAUAUAUUGUUCACAUUGAUUUUUUUAUUGCAUGUAUAUUAUCACCUUUAAAUAGAUAUGUUUUGUUUUUAAAAUAUCUUUGUAUGUUAUUUGCUCUAAAUUUCUUCUUUCACAAUAUUUAUUUUAUUCAUUUACAUAUUCUUAGUUUUAUUUUCAUAUAUGCAAAUCUUUUCAAACCCUAACAUGCGUUAUUCAUUUAUAAAUUUUUCAUAUAGUUUUUGAAUUGUUUUGUAUUAUAUUGGCUCUUAGUAUCCAUAUUGCUUUGUAUAUUAUGUGUUGCAUUUUAUCUUUCAUAUUAUUUUAUAUAUUAUUAUCUUAUAUUAUUUAUUCUUUUUUUUAUUAUAUCAAUUGUUAUUCAUCCAUGCUUAGGAGUUUGGUUAUAUUUUUUGAGGAUUAAUUAUUAUUAGAUUAAUUGGUUUCUUUAGGUUAUAUUAUCUUUAUUCACCAAGUUUUGUACUUUAGUUAUACAUGUUAUCCCAUGUUCAUUAUUUCUCUUUUUUAUUUUGAAUCAAAUAAAUGUGUUUUGAGCUAGUUUACAAUUUUUCUAAACUAAGGCAAUGUUCAAUAUUUGGAAAUUUAAAGAAUCGUGCCCUACCGUGUUGGGCUUCGAUUCUUCGUUGGACUAAAUAAUUGGACAUCUUUUUGUAAUUUUCAACGUAUAGGCUUUCGGGGGUCAAAAAUCAAUCGUAUUUUAAAAGGUAUGAAGAAUCUUAUCCAAUCGUGCUGGAUAUGAUGCUAUAUAGCUUUGAAACAAGAGAAUUUUGAUGACCAACUUGAGCGAUUCAAAUGUUUCAAAAUGAACCAUAUUUCAAAAAUCACUUUAAAACUUAGACAUAAGGACAGUACUUAAUCGAUUUGGUACCAAUUUUGGGCAUAGUGAGGGUGCUAAUCCUUCCUCAUGCGUAAUUGGCUCCCGAACCUAUUUGCUCAAAUUUACCUAGGCCAAAAUUGAUUUAAAUGAAAUAAAAUAUUUUAUUAGGCGAUCUAAUCUCUCCUAAACAAAAAGGAUUGGUGGCGACUCCACGCUUUGUUUUAAAAGUCGAUCCCCAUUUUCGUUUUCUCAAAAUCAAAAACAUGGUUUCGAUAGCUUGGCGACUCCACUGGGGAGUUUGAGAGUCUAGCCAUAAAUUGAUUGAUUUUUGUCCUUUUUCGAAAAUUGAAAACUUGUUUUAAACUUAUGAUCCCUUCAUUACAUUUCCUCCGUUUUUGUUACGGUUUUCAUAAUUUUAUUCAUAUUUUUUUUAUUGCUUCGGGUUUUUUUUACGCAUAUAUCAUUACACAUUACAUUGCAUGACCGUUGUGGUCACACCUUUAAGUGGGAGUGAGAAGCUAUGCCUUCGUGAGGUUUUCACCUCCGCAUGGGCUAGUGGGUUGCUUCUAGGAUACAUCCGUACUUAUGAUUUCGUAAGAUUUUCAUCUCCGCAUGGUCAUAGGGAAAUGUGUUCCCCUUUCUCUGUACUAACGUGUUUUGUUGAUGACUGCAUUGCAUUACAUCUUCAUAGAAAGGAGGUGUUAACUCAUAUUUGAUUGCUAAAUAGAACAGUUUGUCAUAAGAAAAUGAAUUCCUUGAUAAAGUGGAUUAUAAUACGGUUGUCUAAAUAUGGUCCAAGUAAACAAAUGGAAAAAGGCCAAUGAUUCGUAGAGGAAAACAAGUCUUUACCUAAAGACUCAGGCUGAUAAAGAUUGUUCGAGAGCCGUUGCGUCCCGAUUUCUUGAAAAAGCUAAUCAACAUCGCAAGGAUAAUAAAUCACGGUCUUGAUCAAGCAGAAAGGAAUUAGUGAAGACAUUUAUUGAAAGCUUGAGAGAUUUGACUUCUAUGAAGAAAAGAGACCGGUGUCUUCGUCUGGAAUAUGAAAGCAAGGCCGCAUAUGUAAUCCGUUUUAUGUAAAGAAAUUUGUUUUCUAAAAAAGUUGUUCUAAUGGAAUUGAAUUCAGAGUCAACGCCUCUCUUUCUUUUGCAUUCAUUCCAUGCAUUUGCAUUGCAUCGCAUUAGAUUUUCCCAAAAGAACCUUAAUUAGGUAAAAUUAUUUUAGAACCGACAAAGGAUAUGGACCAAAGGUUGGAAAGAAUAGAGCAAAGGCAAAUACAGAUGCAACAGCAAUUGAUCAAAAUUCAACAAGAUAUACGGGAACAAAUGCUAGAAUUCUAGAGAAAUAUGAUGGGCCAGUUAACCCAGUUACUAGCCGGAGGACUUGAAAAAAGGAGUGGCCUAGUGGUCAACAGUGGGGAUGAUAACGAAGACCUUAUCUAUUCCCUAGGUUUUACCCCAAUAAGCGUCCUGACCCAACCAGACGCGUAUCCGCAAUGGAUACCAGUCAUUAUCAGACCUCAAUAUUAGACUAAUACAUCGACACUAUUAAACUUCUCGAUGGGUUCAGGUUUUAACCCGAAGGAUGAUCGAACCAAACCAGUUGUUCUGGCAGAAACGAAAGAAGGAGGAGAGUAGACUUUAAAGGCCUCGAAGAAGAAGGAAAAGGAAGCGAAUAGUACGAGUAGGUAUAACAAAGGCCAUUUGGAGUCGGUUGCAGUAAGCCAGCCAAGGACGGUAACUACAAGCCAUUAGGUCUCCCCAAAACAAGAACCCAAUUCAAGACCAAACUCAGAAAAACCUCAGUUCACACCUAUCCCAAUCACGUAUAAGGAGUUGUACCAAAUUUUGUUUGACGUACAUGUUAUAUCCCCUUUUUACAUAGAGCCAAUACAGCCUCCAUACCCUAAAUGGUACGAUGCAAGCGGCCAAUGUGAAUACCAUGCGAGAAUCACGGGGCAUUCUAUCGAGAACUGUACCGCUUUUAAAAAGUUAAUAGAAAGACUUAUCAAAUCGGGUAUCGUGAAAUUUGUUGACCCCUCUGGUGCAGAAAAUCCGUUACCCAACCUUUCUGUUAAAGGGGUAAACGUUAGGAGUUCCAUGAUGGAUAGGGACAUGAGAUCCAAGAACGCAUCGAGCUCAGGGCCUUAGUGUAAGGUCUGAUGGUUAGUAAAUUGAAGAAAUUAAGACCCGGUGGGAAGGUUGGGAAAUCUAAACACUAACGACAUAUUCGAAGAAGGAACCGGGAGUAAACUUUUCCAAGCUUCUGCCUUUACGUACUUGGGGUAUUUUGAACAAUGGGACUGUGGAAGAGAUCCUUGUAUUUUUAGAGCUAAUUGAAAGUAAUGUUCAGAACACGCCUAUUGCUCUAAGCCUAGGAGUAAUAGGAGGCCUUUUGUGAAAUAGGCUUGUGUCCAAAGUUUUUAUUUCAAUAAAAUGCAUCUUUGCUAUUAUUUCGAGUAAAUAUUCUUUUACUCUAUACAGACAAUUAUUUUUAGAUUCUUUCGUUCUUUCGGAUUUUAUCUCAAAUAUUCUUUUAUUCUUCAUUCAUGAUCAUACCAUACAAAUAAUCAUCCUUGAAAUCAUUUAUUCUCUGGAAACUGUCUUCGUACCUACAACAGGUCUCCAGAUAUCAAUGACGAGAGCGACGCUAUCACUGACUUCAAAUCUCUUUUUGAGCAAAAUAUGUGUCUAGAGGGAUUUCAGGACCUUGAUGAUGAUAAAGAUUGUAGCCUAUCUCUUGAUUUGUCAAGGAUGGUAGAAUAAGAUGAGAAAUAGAUCCCACAUUACAAAAGGGCAAUGGACAUCGCGAACCUAAGAGACGAGAAAGAGGUAAAGAUUGGAGUGUAUACCACCACAGAGAUGAAGCAAAAUGUCAAGAAUACAAAGAUAUUUUUGCAUGAUCGUAUCAAGAUAUACCUGGGCUACUAAGGCUUGUGGAUGCAAAAAAAGGUCUAUACGAGUGUCAGAAGAACAUAUGCUAAUGGUUUUAUGUUUGCCAAGCUAAUUAUGAGGUUCGGGUGCUGCUGAUCCACCAUAGAAGGGGAUCGUAUCAGUCAAGCCAUGAAUACCAAAUGGAGAAAAAAAGACUUUUAUGCCUCCUCAAUUUCUUCAUAGAUUUACUAUAUGUGAGGCAUGGAUAUUAUGGGGUUGAUCUCGUCAAAAGCUUCUAACUGAUACUGAUUCAUCUUUGGAGUCAUUGAUUACUUCGCGAAAAGGGUGAAAGUCAUUUCAUAUGCCAAUGUUACUAAGUCGACAGUCAUCAAAUUUCCAAAAGAAGAAGAAGAAGAAGAAAGAAAAGAAAAGAAAAGAGGUGCCAACAAAGAAUGCCAGAAAGGAUCAUGUCUAACACAACUGCGCAAUGUCAAAAGUUUGCAGUCUGUUCAAAGACUAGGCGCCAUAUUGUCGUGCAGCAAAGGCAGCAAAAAAAAGAAGAUCAUGGGGAAGAUGAUCGAGACUUGUAAAGAUUGGCAUAAGAAAUCACCAUAUACCCUCUCCGUUUAUUGAACGUCGGCCAUGACCUUCGUCGAGGCAACACAUUUCUCAUUAUGGAAUGAAAGUGGUUUGCCCAUUAAAAUCAAGAUUCCUUCUCCCUAAAUUUCGAUUGAGUCGAUAAUUGGAUGAAGCAGAAUGGAUCCAAUGAAUUUAAUUGAAAAUUACCCGUCAUGGUUAAACGUACCAAAAACAAAUAAUGCGAGCUUACGAUAAAGAGGUUUAUCCUAGAGAAUUCCACGAGGGGAACUUGAUAUUGAAGAAGAUUCUCCCUAUACAAAAGGAUUUUAGAGGAAAAUGGAUGACAAACUAGGAAGGACCUUAUGUAGUAAAGAGGGCCUGUUUUGGAGGGGCAUUGAUAUUGACUGAAAUGGGUGACAAAGAUUUGCCCAAAUCAGUGAAUUCAAAUCCAGUCAAGGAGUAUUCUACCUAAAAGGAAAGAGGCCAAGAUGAAAACUUGCAAAGGACGCCUUGAGACCAAAAAAUAAAAGGGAGAAAAAGGGAGAAAGAGAGAGGAAAAAGAAAAAGGGAGAGGCCAAGGCGAAAACCCACAAAGGGCGCUUUCAGCCAAAGGGGAUUUGAGUUGAAAACCAGAAAAAGGCGGCUCAAAUAUGGAUCAAAAUGAGGCAUGCAGCAGUUUUACUAUGCCUGAAUUAACAAAGAAGAAAUAUGCUACGUCUUGGGGCAUUGAAAAAGUACUCUGGAUCCCUUAAACACAUAUUGCGCUCAGAAGGGUCCUCAAGAAGUUGGUACAGAGAAGCUCAAGCUACGAUAUCUGGAGCACCUAGUUUUCCGUUUUACCCAUUUUUGAAUUUUCUAUAUUUGAUUAAGUUAUUCAUUUUGAGUUAAUGUCUUCUUAUUGCAUUUUCAAUCUUGGAUUAAUUUAUUCAUUUCGAGAUAAGCUCCCAAUCAAUUUCCUUCUUGUUCAUUGUUAUGAUCUUUUUCAAGCAUUUUGCAUUGAAAUAACAAUUAAUGGACCAAUAAUACUUUCAUAAAAGAAGUUCUGCAUAUUACUCUAGAAGCUUCUAAAUAGUAUAGGAACCUAAAACAGAACCAUUAUUUAGAACUCACCAAGCCUAAGGGUUGGAAAUAUUUGAGAGAUAGAAGUCUAAAUUGUGGCUAUCUCUCUAAAUUCUUUGUUAAAGAUAUCAGUUGCACAAGAAACAAGACAUUUCAUCGAUGAUACAACCUCAACAAAUAACGAGCAAUGUCAACGCAAAUGUAAAAGGGGGUCAUUCUCGAGAAGAGAAAAAAUGGUAUUAUGUAUUCACGCAGAUCUCCAGCAUACACAUCUGGUCAUAAUACCAGGGAAUGGUGUAACAGAUCAAAUUGAUUAAAGAUGACACAAAUCCUAUACCUCUGAGUUACAGUAGGAUGGAUAGAAGAAACCAAAUAUUAUUCUCCUGAAGUUGUAGUGGGAGGUACAAACUUUAUGCCCCAGAAGGUACGGUGGAAGGGACUCUGAAAUUACUGCGAGGCAAGCUUGCUGAAUAGAAUGUGAUUAUUUUUUGACUUUUCUGUCAAAAUUACCAGCCGAACAAGAUGACAGCAUAAUACUUCAAUGAUAAUGUCUUGAUGAACAACUUGCAAUGAUACUUUAAGCCUUUUUUUUAAAAAAAAAGAGAUCAUUUUCAUUCCUGCAUUCAUAUAUCAUUCAUAAUACAUCUAGUUAGGAGCAUUUGUUUUAUUUCAAUCAUAGCAUCCUAAUUAUUUGGCAUAAGCAUUACAUCUAGUUAGGAGCAUUUGAUUCACUUCGAUCAUAGCAUCCUAAUUAUUUGGCAUAAGCAUAGAUACAUGAAACUGAUUCUACAGAUCAUGUCCCUAGAGGAUGGUGUAGCAACAUCGGUGAAUUUGCAGAUCUUGUCUCCCUAAAGUUGCAGUGGAACAGAUCGAAGACGGCGAAUCUUGUCUCUCUGAAGUUGCAGUGGAGUAGAUUUAAGUCACCAUCCUAUCUCCCUAAGCAGUAGUGGAGUAGGCUAAAGAUUGCAGAUCUUGUCUCCCUGAAGUUGCAGUGAAACAGAUCGAAGACGGCAGAUCUUAUUUCUCUAAAGUUGCAGUGGAGUAGAUUUAAGCCACCAUCGUAUCCCCCUAAGUAGUAGUGGAGUAGGCUGAAGAUUGCAGAUCUUGUCUCCCUAAAGUUGCAGUGGAACAGAUCGAAGACAGCGAAUCUUGUCUCUUUGAAGUUGCAGUGGAACAGAUUUAAGCCACCGUCCUAUCUUCCUAAGCAGUAGUGGAGUAGGUUGAAGAUUGUAGAUCUUGUCUCCCUGAAUUUACAGUGGAACAGUUCAAAAACGGUGAAUCUUGUCUCUCUGAAGUUGCAGUGGAGCAGAUUUAAGCCACCGUCCUAUCUCCCUAAGCAGUAGUGGAGUAGGCUGAAGAUUGCAAAUCUUGUCUCCCUGAAGUUGCAGUGGAACAGAUCGAAGACGGCGAAUCUUGUCUCCCUAACCAGUAGCGGAAUAGAUUUAAGCCACCAUCCUAUCUCCCUAAGCAGUAGUGGAGUAGGUUGAAGAUUACAGAUCUUGUCUCCCUAAAGUUGCAGUGGAACAGAUCGAAGACGGUGAAUCUUGUCUCCCUAAAUAGUAGUUGAGCAAAUUUAAGCCACCAUCCUAUCUGCCUAACCAGUAGUGGAGUAGGUUGAAGAUUAUAGAUCUUAUCUCUCUGAAGUUGCAGUAGAGCAGAUCAAAACAAACCUUAUCUCAUUGAAAUUGCAGUGGAGCAGGUUGAAAUUACGAAUCUUAUCUCCCUAAAGUUGUAGUGGAGUAGGUUGAAGCCACAAACCUUAUCCCCCUGAAGUUACAGUGGGGCAAGUUGAAGUUACAAGUCUUACCUCCCUGAAAUUACAGUGGAGUAGACUAAAGAUAGCAGAUCUUACCUUCUUGAAGUUGCAAUGGAGCAGAUCAAGCUAUAAUUGCAGAAGAACAUAUUAAAGCCACAAACCUCAACUCCCUGAAGUUGUAGUGAAAUAGGUUAAAGCUAUAAGUAGUCAUAGUGGAGUAGAUUAAAGCAACAGCUCUUAUACCUCUGAAGAUGCAGUGGGGCUACUUGAAGAAGAGAAGCACCGAAGAAGUCAAGAUUAUGCAAGACCAGGCAAAAUUAGCCCUUUUUAAAGUCUUUGCUUUAUUCUCGUUACACGACAAUGAGUAAAGAGGGAUAGCUGUAGAGGCCUAGCCCUUUUUAAAGUCUUUACUUUAUUCUCGUUACACAAAUCCUAUACUUAAUAACAAAAAAAAAAUAUAAAGUCCACAAGUCCAUUUUACACAGCCCAAAAUCCAAACCCAUUUACAAUAACCCAAUUCUAAACCCAACUACCCUAGCCAAAAAAUUCAAAGCCCAAAUGGCCCAAAAAUUUUAGGAACAGAAACUAGGGUUUCCCUAGCACCGCAGCUGGCCUCCCAACCCUCGUACAGCCUCCAGCUCGCCUCCGUACAGCCUUUACGUACCACCUUCACCACGUUGCCUCCGUACGUGUAAAAUAAGACAAGCAAAGGACGGACACAGUAACAAGAGAAAAAACCAAGUAGAAACUUUGUAAUUUUUCUUUUUUGUGGUGGCUAUAAAAAGCCAAGAAAUAUCAAUGUAAAUCUCUCUCUUUUUUUUACGCAUACAAGGAAAUCAGUACAAAAAAGGGGAAUCAAGGUGGUCUUUUGGUUCUGUUUUCCAUUUCCUUUGCAAGUUUAUUUUUGAAUAUAGCACAUACAUGUAUAGAUAUUCAAAGAAAACAUAAAAAAGGUUACCUUUUUGAGAUUGGGGAAGGGAACCGAUGGGUUGUUUGUUU
rnacentral:lncRNA from 1 species